UGGAUCCAGACUUUGAUUCUGGCUCAGGACGAACGCUGGCGGCGUGCUUAACACAUGCAAGUCGAACGAGAAGAGAUGAGAAGCUUGCUUCUUAUUGAUUCGAGUGGCAAACGGGUGAGUAACGCGUAAGCAACCUGCCCUCUAGAUGGGGACAACAGCUGGAAACGGCUGCUAAUACCGAAUACGUUCUUUCAGUCGCAUGGCAGAGGGAAGAAAGGGAGGCUCUUCGGAGCUUUCGCUGGAGGAGGGGCUUGCGUCUGAUUAGCUAGUUGGAGGGGUAACGGCCCACCAAGGCGACGAUCAGUAGCCGGUCUGAGAGGAUGAACGGCCACAUUGGGACUGAGACACGGCCCGGACUCCUACGGGAGGCAGCAGUGGGGAAUCUUCCGCAAUGGACGAAAGUCUGACGGAGCAACGCCGCGUGAACGAUGACGGCCUUCGGGUUGUAAAGUUCUGUUAUACGGGACGAAUGGUACGACGGUCAAUACCCGUCGUAAGUGACGGUACCGUAAGAGAAAGCCACGGCUAACUACGUGCCAGCAGCCGCGGUAAUACGUAGGUGGCAAGCGUUGUCCGGAAUUAUUGGGCGUAAAGGGCGCGCAGGCGGCGUCGUAAGUCGGUCUUAAAAGUGCGGGGCUUAACCCCGUGAGGGGACCGAAACUGCGAUGCUAGAGUAUCGGAGAGGAAAGCGGAAUUCCUAGUGUAGCGGUGAAAUGCGUAGAUAUUAGGAGGAACACCAGUGGCGAAAGCGGCUUUCUGGACGACAACUGACGCUGAGGCGCGAAAGCCAGGGGAGCAAACGGGAUUAGAUACCCCGGUAGUCCUGGCCGUAAACGAUGGAUACUAGGUGUAGGAGGUAUCGACCCCUUCUGUGCCGGAGUUAACGCAAUAAGUAUCCCGCCUGGGGAGUACGGCCGCAAGGCUGCAACUCAAAUGAAUUGACGGA
rnacentral:rRNA from 2 species